CGUAGAAGGCGCCGGAUUGCAGCGAAGAAAGGAAAGAAGUUUCAUCCCGUUUUGACGUUUGUGUGUUGUUCAAAGCGCAUCGCAGCAGGCAGCACUAAACCGUAUGCGUCAACAUACGCACAUCGUGCGUACCACAAGACAAGAUAAAACUAGUGAAACGCUGCAGUUGGAACGUCGUUUAUCAACAUUAACUUGAUUUCAUGCUGGCGGCAUGAACGGUUCAACAACACGGCCCUACCCUCGAUCGCGGUACGCACUUCGGUGUGUAAAUUAAGGCUUCCACACACACCCGGUCUCGCGGGCAAACGAUUUGCGCCUGUAUUGCCGAGCGGCCAACCUCUAAACAACAUCACGCACGCAAACACACGCCACGACGGUCACGAUGCUGGUCUGGGAGGCGAGAGGGUAAUGCUAACAACAUAAAUAAAGACCAUUGUCGUUCUUCUGGUA